rnacentral:tRNA from 1 species
CGGCGCACUACGGCGCGGACGCGGCCGUCUUCGACGCGGCGCGGGGGGCCGAGGACCAUCUGGCGUUCGGCAUCGGCGUGCACCGC